rnacentral:lncRNA from 1 species
AGAAGGAUUCCAGUGCUGGAGAGGCUGCUGGUGGGUGCUCCCCAGGCCCUGGCUCUUCCUGGGCAGCAGGCGAAUCGCACUGGAGGCCUCUUCGCUUGCCCGUUGAGCCUGGAGGAGACUGACUGCUACAGAGUGGACAUCGACCAGGGAGCUGAUAUGCAAAAGGAAAGCAAGGAGAACCAGUGGUUGGGAGUCAGUGUUCGGAGCCAGGGGCCUGGGGGCAAGAUUGUUACCUGUGCACACCGAUAUGAGGGCACAGCUGCCGCCUUCUCCCCUGAUAGCCACUACCUCCUCUUUGGGGCCCCAGGAACCUAUAAUUGGAAGGGUGAGUCACUCCUCGGGAAGGGGAGAAGGGGACCAAAACCUCCUCUUACCUCAGAGACAGGGUUGGGGAUGGCACAUGGCCAAGCAUGACCACAUGUGCACUGCUGUAUGGCCCCAGGGCACUGCCAUGCCUUCCACCCCAUUGAGCUAGUGCACACAUGAAUGGGGGGUGCCUCCUUUCCCUCGCACGGCCAAGUGUUCCUCAACAUGCUGGCAUGGGCCCCAAGU